rnacentral:rRNA from 1 species
GAUGAACGCUAGCGAUAGGCUUAACACAUGCAAGUCGAGGGGCAGCACAAGGUAGCUUGCUAUCUGGGUGGCGACCGGCGCACGGGUGCGUAACGUGUAUGCAACUUGCCCUAUACAGGAGGAUAACCCGUCGAAAGACGUACUAAUACUGCGUAUGCUCACAACUUGGCAUCCAGUGGUGAGGAAAGAAAUUCGGUAUAGGAUAGGCAUGCGUCCCAUUAGCUUGUUGGUGAGGUAACGGCUCACCAAGGCAACGAUGGGUAGGGGAACUGAGAGGUUUAUCCCCCACACGGGUACUGAGACACGGACCAGAAUCCUACGGGAGGCAGCAGUGAGGAAGAUUGGUCAAUGGGGGCGAGCCUGAACCAGCCAAGUCGCGUGAAGGAUGACUGUCUUAUGGAUUGUAAACUUCUUUUAUACGGGAAUAACAAGAGUCACGGGUGACUCCCUGCAUGUACCGUAUGAAUAAGCAUCGGCUAACUCCGUG